rnacentral:rRNA from 1 species
UACGUAGGGGGCAAGCGUUGUCCGGAUUUAUUUGGGCGUAGAGAGCUCGUAGGUGGUUCGGUAAGUCGGAUGUGAAAUCUCCAGGCUCAACCUGGAGGGGUCAUUCGAUACUGCCGUGACUAGAGGUCGGUAGGGGAGUGUGGAAUUCCUGGUGGAGCGGUGAAAUGCGCAGAUAUCAGGAGGAACACCCGUAGCGAAGGCGGCACUCUGGGCCGAUACUGACGCUGAGACGCGAAAGCGUGGGGAGCGAACAGG